rnacentral:siRNA from 1 species
ACUCUAUCUGCAACACUCCGCCGU